rfam:Erinaceus europaeus unplaced genomic scaffold scaffold00115, whole genome shotgun sequence
AUUAAAUCAAUAAAAAAGAAAGAAAAUUUAUUGUAAUAGUGGCUCAAACGCAGGUGCUAAUAGCAAAGGGAACCUCAUAGCCUUAGGAGGACUUCCUGGACCCUUCAAAAUGAAUUUAGAGGUUCUACACAC